rnacentral:lncRNA from 1 species
UUUUUUUUUGGCCUAAAUGACAUUUUGGAUUAUGAAAUUCUUUUUCGCAAAGAUUAUUUCCUGAAUUAAUUGUCAACUGAGUUUUGAAAGCAUGCAUCUCCAGUUAAGUGCACUCUAAAAUUCUAAAAUGGAGUGCAAGAUAUUAUUCAAUUGCAAGAUAUUAUUCAAUCAUAUCGUACUCUACUUUGCCGUUUGGUUUAGAGUUUUGAACAGUGAAAUUCAAUAAAACUCUAGUUUACUAUUUGAAGAGC